rnacentral:rRNA from 1 species
UGUAAGCGUAUACCAAAGUUGUUGCAGUUGAAACGCUCGUAGUCGGAAUUUGGCAGUUCCGGAAGUGUGCACGUCGUGUGCGCACUUUGCGGGGACUGCUUUUGUGGUCUUGCGUAGGAUGAGGCACUUUCAUUAGUGAACGUCCUCACGCAACCACUCUUUACUGUGAGAAAAUCAGAGUGCUCAAAGCAGGCAUUUGCCGUGAAUGUAUUAGCAUGGAAUAAUAGAAUAGGACUCGGUUCUAUUUUGUUGGUUUGUUGGGACUGAGUAAUGAUUAAGAGGGACAGUUGGGGGCAUUUGUAUUCCGGCGCUAGAGGUGAAAUUCUUAGAUUGCCGGAAGACAAACUGCUGCGAAAGCGUCUGCCAAGGAUGUUUUCAUUGA